AUACGGAGGAUCCAAGCGUUAUCCGGAUUUAUUGGGUUUAAAGGGUGCGCAGGCGGAAAAUUAAGUCAGUGGUGAAAUCCUGCAGCUUAACUGCAGAACUGCCAUUGAUACUGUUUUUCUUGAGUAUAGUUGAAGUGGGCGGAAUGUGUCAUGUAGCGGUGAAAUGCUUAGAUAUGACACAGAACACCAAUUGCGAAGGCAGCUCGCUAAGCUAUAACUGACGCUCAUGCACGAAAGCGUGGGGAUCAAACAGGAUUAGAUACCCUGGUAGUCCACGCCGUAAACGAUGAUUACUCGAUGUUGGCGAUAUACAGUCAGCGUCUAAGCGAAAGCAAUAAGUAAUCCACCUGGGGAGUACGAUCGCAAGGUUGAA
rnacentral:rRNA from 1 species